UAACAAAAAUGUUGAAAAAUAGAAUGCCUUGAAUCUAUAUUUGUAAACAUGACGCAAACGCUAACAUUGACAUUAAUUUUAUUGCUUGCAUCUAUUCCUUCUCUUACACACUGUGUUAAAAUAAUAGUUACGGACAAUGAAUGCGUCAACUGCAGCAGGUACAGAGCAUCGUGUGAAGUUAAUACAACUGGAUGGACCGCCUUCAAGAUGCAUAUGAGCGACGCUAAUCUAGUGCGCCGCUUAGUCAAUGUCUACGAUAGCGAGACAAGUAACAAUAUGGCAAAUUGCGUGUUUGAUGAAUAUACAUUAAUUGCUGAAAUUGAGACAUUCCUUUGCUUCUGGGCCCCGUACUUUGGAUGCCAGGCUGUUACAAGUAAGAAUUAUGUUAACAAACAUCACUUUCACCGAGUUGUCUGUCACAUAUGUGCCAAGUAUUGCAAAUGCCGAAUGAGCACAAAGUCUGCGGCAUAUAUCGCUCGUGAAUCAUCUAUAUAUUUCUGCCAAAUUAUAUGUUUCGUCUUCUACUAUUUAAUCAAUGGUCCACUUGUCGUCAAAUAAAUAUUUACGUAUAACGUGAUACUGUAUAGAGGCUGUUUUUCAAGUAUCCCAAUGCAUGACUGCCUCCUACUCUGAGGCUAUGAGUUCUUCUGUGCAGGUAUUAUCUUGGUUGUAUGCUUUGCAGUUCUGGCUUGCUGAACGUAGUCCCAAGUGUUGAGAGAGAGUCAAACGGCUAUUUAAGCCACUCGGACUGUUAUGAUGGUCAAUGGGAGCGACUAGAAAUCGAAAUUAUUGGACGUGGUUAUGAAAAAUUUAAUUGCAGCAGAACAUUAGCCUCUCAACACCAGCUCGUUGUUUAAAAGUUAUUAAAUGAUUUUACAAUAAAUAAACUUGUUAACUAAGCUGACUGCACUCCAAGUGCAUAUGUUGUCGAUCUCCUGCUGCUCGCAGAACAAAAAUUCUGGAGCUCAAAGGUACCCAAC